rnacentral:misc_RNA from 1 species
AACGCACAUUGCACCUUUUGGUAUUCCGAAAGGUAUGCUUGUUCGAGCGUCGUUUAAACAAUAUCAAUUUAAUUAUUGAUGUAUUGAGUUUUUGAUACUUUUAAUCAAGUGUCAUACUCCAAAAGAAUUGAACGCGAUCUUGAAAAUAGAUUUAUAUUGAACGCAUUAAAGUCUUAAAACAACUACGUACAAAUAAAAUCUUUCAAGAGCAGCCAAAUUAAACCAUUUCUAAUAGAAUUGUAAAAAGGUUCUAAUAGAAAUACUUUUAUUUUUAAGAUCGACCUCGAAUCAAGUAGGAUUACCCGCUGAACUUAA